CACGUUGAAACACUAUUCCCUUACGAUCACCGAAGUUAAGCGACAUAGAGUCUGGUCAGUACUUAGAUGGGUGACCGUUUGGUAAUACUAGGUGCUGUAAG